rnacentral:rRNA from 1 species
GAUGAACGCUGGCGGCGUGCCUAAUACAUGCAAGUCGAGCGAACAGACGAGGAGCUUGCUCCUCUGACGUUAGCGGCGGACGGGUGAGUAACACGUGGAUAACCUACCUAUAAGACUGGGAUAACUUCGGGAAACCGGAGCUAAUACCGGAUAAUAUUUUGAACCGCAUGGUUCAACAGUGAAAGACGGUCUUGCUGUCACUUAUAGAUGGAUCCGCGCCGCAUUAGCUAGUUGGUAAGGUAACGGCUUACCAAGGCAACGAUGCGUAGCCGACCUGAGAGGGUGAUCGGCCACACUGGAACUGGGACACGGUCCAGACUCCUACGGGAGGCAGCAGUAGGGAAAUCUCCGCAAUGGGCGGAAGGCUGACCGAGCCAAGCCGCGUGGGUGAAGAAGGUUUUGCGGUCGUAAAACUCUGUUAUUAGGGAAGAACAAAAGUUGAAGGAACUAUGCCAGUCUUGACGGUACCUUAACAAGAAGGCACGGCUAAAUUAGUG